AUUAGGAAAGCUUAACAUUUUCUCCAGACAAACCAAAUCUUAUAAAUUGUUAAUAUUGGGAAUGAUUUCAUAACUUUUAACAACUUUUAUCUCGAACUUUUGACCAAAUUUUGCCAACGUCAAACUUUGAAAAACAUUUGCCAAGUUUGACCUGCAACUUUGACCAACUUUAACCAAAUAUUUUCCAUUUUGGCCAAUAUCUGAGGCCCACGCACGCACGUACGCACGCACGCACGCACGCACGCACGCACGCACGCACGCACGCAAGCAAGCAAGCACGCAAGCAAGCACGCACACACACACCGGUAGCGACGUCCCUGGAUCGAAUCGUAAGAAUGGUUAAAACUUUCAUUUAUCCCCAGGUUUUUGGUGUUCUUUGAGAUGUCUUUCAAGUUAAAUAGAAAAAUUACUUUUUAAAACCAUAGUUUGUUAAAAUAAUAUAAUAUCAGUUCAAAUUAAACGAUAGACAAAGACAUGACAAAUGCAAUUGCUGCUCUAUCUUUAUUUAUCAAACAACAUAUAUGAUUAUUUGAAACAUUUAAUACUUAAGUUGGGUUUUUUCUUCAAGAAAAAAAGUUUUAGCGGUUUUAAGGUGGCUCCCUACAGUUAUUCUUGUUUAAGCAAUAAUUCCGUAAAACAGGCUUAUUCGUGCAGAACGCGAAUUCUUUUCGACUUGGAGGCAAUAUUGGUCACCUAAGGAAUAUUUCGAACUAGAUUUCGACAACGCCGGUGUUCCCAUGGCAACAUGACGACAGCAUAAAGCCUUCCAAUUUAACCCAUAAAUGUGCCGCUAUCUCAAAAACGAUGUCGGUGACCUAUCUUUUUUAUUUCAUAUAUCAAUAAGGAAUGAU